GUAGAACCUCCACUAUGACUCACUGUGGUCCUAAUGGUUCUAAAGUUCUCCUCAUAGCGGUGGAACCUCCUUCAUGACUCACUGUGGUUCUAAAGGUCCCCUCAUAGCGGUGGAGCCUCCUCCAUGACUCACUGUGGUUCUAAAGGUUCCCAUGCAGCGGUGGAGCCUCCACCAUGACUCACUGUGGUUCUAAAGGUUCCCUCAUAGCGGUGGAGCCUCCACCAUGACUCACUGUGGUUCUAAAGGUUCUAAAGGUUCCCAUGCAGCGGUGGAACCUCCUCACUGCUCCUCUUAUCAGCAGCUUGGCCGUCCAUGUGUACCCUGGCCUUUCCUCCAUGCUGUUUCAAGUGUGUGUGUGUGUGUGUGUGUGUGUGUGUGUGUGUGUGUGUGUGUGUGUGU
ensembl:lncRNA